rnacentral:hammerhead_ribozyme from 1 species
AUCCAGCUGACGAGUUCCAAAUAGGACGUGUCCUGGAU